CUCGCUCCGAGGGCGGCCCCCCCUCUAGGCUCCGCACAUUCUCCUCCCCCGUCCCUUCCGUCUCCUCCUCGCCCGCCGGGGCGAUCUCGCCUCCGCCCUCCUCCUCUCCCUCCACCCACCCUCGCCUCUUCCUUUUGUUUCCCAUUUCUCCUCACUUCCCGUUGUUUCCCUUCCCCUUCCCUUCGUUGACCUCUCUUCCGUUCCCCACUUCCUCUUUCUCCGCCUCUCCACUGGCUGGGGUCCUCGGAGGCCCUCCUCCCUCGCGCUCCGAGGAGGUCGCCGCUCAGAUUGCGUCCCGCCUGAAACUGCCGCCUGCCUCUGCCCUUCCCGGGUCGGGCCCAGAGGGAUGCUCACGCCCCUGCCUGUUCCUGCUGUGUAGCAGAGGGCACUGUAUUCCCGGAAAUAGGCGGAACAGACAGGGGACUUUUCCUCCAAGCAAAGACAACUGCUCCGAGAUCACUGGCCCUGUGGGUAGUUGGCCAUGCUGUCGCCCAGCUUGAGCAAACAGUCCGAAAAGCCCUUAAAGACUGCAUCGCACUUGCCCGCUGCUCUCACGGCCUGCACCAG